rnacentral:lncRNA from 10 species
AAGCUGCGAAGAUGGCGGAGUAAGGCGUGCCGCUGCAAACUGGCCUCUGGGCCGGGGGCGAGCAGCCCCCGGGAGGCCGAGUGCAUCUGUUGGACCGUGCGAGGAGAAGAAAAAAAAUAUCGGCCAGAGGAGAGGAACUAACCGAACAUUCUUCCUCCCUACCUUAUAGAGGGGAGUGGUCAUCUACACUAAAGCAAAGUGUUAGGCGCGUCCGUGCGAAGAGACCACCAAACAGGCUUUGUGUUCCUUAUCACAGGAAGAAAAUUUUCCUUGACCUUUAGGUGCUUUUAUAUUCAUCUCAAAAACAAAAUUCUGAACUCAGGACUUGGCAAAGAUGGAGUUUUGCCAUGUUGGCCAGGCUGGUCUCCAACUCCUGACCUCAGGUGAUCCACCCCCCUCAGCCUCCCAAAGUGCUAGGAUUACAGGCUUGGGCCACCGCGCCUGGUGUCUCUAUGUUGUCUCCUAGAGUGGGU